rnacentral:lncRNA from 1 species
CGUAAAAGAAAAGAAUUGCUUACCAGUUCCUUAUGCUGUGAAAAGCUUUUAUGAGAGAGAUAGCAGGGAAGACUGGGAAAGAACGACAUGUGGGGUACCAAUCCUUGUUAAUAAUCCAUAAAAGUUAUACAAAAGGAUUCUUAAGAAGGGUCCACAAUAGUGUCCAGCAGUCUUUAUUGGAGCCAAGGGUGCCAAGAGAAAUAGAAAGUGCCAAAUACCAGCCUAUACUUUAUGCAUUGAAGGAUUCUAAGUUAGUAAAAUCUUUGGUAGUGAAGAACGAAAAAAUCUUGCCUAUAGGAGGUUUCCUACAUU